UACGUAGGUGGCAAGCGUUGUCCGGAUUUACUGGGCGUAAAGGGCGUGCAGGCGGUUUGUUAAGUGCAGGGUGAAAGCUCCCGGCUCAACUGGGAGAGGUCCUUGCAUACUGGCGAACUCGAGGGAGGCAGAGGAAAGUGGAAUUCCCGGUGUAGUGGUGGUAUGCGUAGAUAUCGGGAGGAACACCUGUGGCGAAGGCGGCUUUCUGGGCCUUACCUGACGCUGAGACGCGAAAGCGUGGGGAGCGAACCGG
rnacentral:rRNA from 1 species